rnacentral:rRNA from 1 species
AGUGAACGCUGGCGGUAGGCCUAACACAUGCAAGUCGAACGGCAGCACAGUAAGAGCUUGCUCUUACGGGUGGCGAGUGGCGGACGGGUGAGGAAUACAUCGGAAUCUACUUUUUCGUGGGGGAUAACGUAGGGAAACUUACGCUAAUACCGCAUACGACCUACGGGUGAAAGCAGGGGAUCUUCGGACCUUGCGCGAUUGAAUGAGCCGAUGUCGGAUUAGCUAGUUGGCGGGGUAAAGGCCCACCAAGGCGACGAUCCGUAGCUGGUCUGAGAGGAUGAUCAGCCACACUGGAACUGAGACACGGUCCAGGCUCCUACGGGAGGCAGCAGUGGGGAAGAUUGGACAAUGGGCGCAAGCCUGAUCCAGCCAUACCGCGUGGGUGAAGAAGGCCUUCGGGUUGUAAAGCCCUUUUGUUGGGAAAGAAAAGCAGCAGGUUAAUACCCCGCUGUUCUGACGGUACCCAAAGAAUAAGCACCGGCUAACUUCGU